UACGAAGGGUGCAAGCGUUAUUCGGAUUGAUUGGGCGUAAAGGGUGCGCAGACGGCAUGUUAAGUCAAUUGUUAAAUUUCCCAGCCUAACUGGGAGCCAGCAAUUGAUACUGGCAAGCUAGAGGAUGGAAGAGAGAAGUGGAAUUCUCGGAGUAGCGGUAAAAUGCGUAGAUCUCGAGGGGAACACCGAUGGCGAAGGCAGCUUCUUGGUCCAUUUCUGACGUUCAAGCACGAAAGCGUGGGUAGCAAACAGG
rnacentral:rRNA from 1 species